ensembl:lncRNA
GUCGGAUACACGGACACAUACAGAUGUAUACGAAUACUGUAUAUGAAAAUUGUGAUUGAGAUUUAGACUAAUACAACUAGAUUUUAAAAAGAUUUUUCCAUUUCCAAUUUCCAAUGUCACUGAUGCAUGUUUCAAAUGGGUGGACAUUAAAGUGUCUUGGUUAAAUGUAUAUGUAAAAAUGUUAUGUAGCAGAUGCACACCAUAUAAUAAACUGUCAAACUAUGUCAAACUUGUUAAUUGACUAAGAUAAGAAACACGCUAACCAACCAGAUGCAAUUAGCACAUGGUCACAUAAGGUCAGCCUUGCAAUAGUUGCAAUUAUUUUACCAAGAAUUAAGACCGCCGUAAACCUCAUUUAAGAACAUGGAGGAACCUUGGAGCUCCAGACGGCCUGAUCACUCUGGCUGAUAAGCCACCGCAGAUUGCAGCUGCUAGCAGUAGCUCUGGACUGAUUUGCUGCUUGGUUAAGGGGCAAAGAAAAACACCAGCCCCGGCCUGCAAGUAUGUUGGCGGUAAAAUCUGGAGCAUGUUUGCUUUACUGGUGCGAGCUCGGACACUGGUCCACAUUCCACUGACCCCCACUUCUCUGUGUUUUCACAGGAAAUAAACAGAGGCUUGUUGCGGCUGCGUUAUCACUCCCUGUCUGUUUGGAGCACAACCAAAAGCUACAAAUCUGCAGAGCUGCCCAGUGGCGGGCGAGCAUGAAAUAACUCAUCAGGUUACGAGUCAUUUUCAAGGGGUGACUGAGUAAAGGUGGCUGUAUUAAGUGUGAAAGGAAUCAGGGCCAAGAGCGCAAUCACUCUCUGAUUGGACUGAUCUGAUUUUUCCUCCGCAAGUGGGGAAAAAAACAUUCUGCAUUUCUGAAGCAGCAUGUCAUUCACCGAAUGAGCAGAACUGCCUUCAAAAUAGGCAAAUCUAACAUAAGAAUGGUGGCAAGACUUUACCAAGUAAGACGGACUGGAGAUGUUUUCUCAGCAGGAUGGUUUGGCAACACUGAGAAUCCCCAGUGAGAAAGAAAGAAAAAUGACGGGCAGCGGAGAGAGGAAUGAAUUCUCAUUUGGCUAGAGACCCACAACCACCCACCCACAUACAGGAGAACAAGGACUCAGUUGGCUGAAGUUUCUGAUAAACCACUGCAGUAUGGGAAAGCUCAUCACUCAUCUUCAAAUGGUUAUCAGAAAAAAAAA